ACAAACUUGGUCAUUUAGAGGAAGUAAAAGUCGUAACAAGGUUUCCGUAGGUGAACCUGCGGAAGGAUCAUUAUUAUUUGGGUUGGGUUUACUUUUAAAAAUACAUUCUUAUUUCGAUCUCUCUUAUUUUGAAAAAGUAAACUUUUUCCAAAUAAAAUCUCAAACUGUACGUCAGAUUUUAUUUUUUCUCUCCCCUAUUUAAUAGGGAGGAGCAAGAUGACUAUAUUUAAAACCAUCACUUCUUACAAAAUAUAUUUCGUAAUAUAAUAAUAAUUAAAAGAUCACUUUCAACAACGGAUCUCUUGGCUCUCGCAUCGAUGAAGAACGCAGC
rnacentral:misc_RNA from 1 species